rnacentral:rRNA from 1 species
GUCCACGCCCUAAACGAUGUCAACUGGUUGUCGGGAAGCAAUUCCUUGGUAACGAAGCUAACGCGUGAAGUUGACCGCCUGGGGAGUACGGCCGCAAGGUUAAACUCAAAGGAAUUGACGGGGACCCGCACAAGCGGUGGAUUAUGUGGAUUAAUUCGAUGCAACGCGAAAAACCUUACCUACCCUUGACAUGUACGGAAGCCCGCAGAGAUGCGGGUGUGCCCGAAAGGGAGCCGUAACACAGGUGCUGCAUGGCUGUCGU